UGCGUAGGCGGUUGGGUAAGUCAGAGGUGAAAUUCCGGGGCUCAACCUCGGAACUGCCUUUGAUACUGCCUGACUAGAGUACUGGAGAGGAGACUGGAAUUCACGGUGUAGCAGUGAAAUGCGUAGAUAUCGUGAGGAGGACCAGUGGCGAAGGCGAGUCUCUGGACAGUUACUGACGCUGAGGCACGAAGGCUAGGGGAGCAAACG
rnacentral:rRNA from 1 species